UACGUAGGGGGCGAGCGUUAUCCGGAAUUAUUGGGCGUAAAGAGUGCGUAGGUGGCCAUAUAAGCGCGGGGUGAAAGGCAAUAGCUUAACUAUUGUAAGCCUUGCGAACUGUGUGGCUUGAGUGCAGGAGAGGAAAGUGGAAUUCCUAGUGUAGCGGUGAAAUGCGUAGAUAUUAGGAGGAACACCAGUGGCGAAGGCGACUUUCUGGACUGUAACUGACACUGAGGCACGAAAGCGUGGGGAGCAAACAGG
rnacentral:rRNA from 1 species